GACGAACGCUGGCGGCGUGCUUAACACAUGCAAGUCGAACGGAAAGGCCCUGCUUUUGUGGGGUGCUCGAGUGGCGAACGGGUGAGUAACACGUGAGUAACCUGCCCUUGACUUUGGGAUAACUUCAGGAAACUGGGGCUAAUACCGGAUAGGAGCUCCUGCUGCAUGGUGGGGGUUGGAAAGUUUCGGCGGUUGGGGAUGGACUCGCGGCUUAUCAGCUUGUUGGUGGGGUAGUGGCUUACCAAGGCUUUGACGGGUAGCCGGCCUGAGAGGGUGACCGGCCACAUUGGGACUGAGAUACGGCCCAGACGCCUACGGGAGGCAGGAGUGGGGAAUAUUGCACAAGGGGCGGAAGCCUGAUGCAGCAACGCCGCGUGCGGGAUGACGGCCUUCGGGUUGUAAACCGCUUUCGCCUGUGACGAAGCGUGAGUGACGGUAAUGGGUAAAGAAACACCGGCUAACUACGU
rnacentral:rRNA from 1 species